ensembl:lncRNA
CACCCACCUCUCCCCCGGCUACGGCGAGCGGCGAGCGGCAGAAAGAGCCGGCGCAGCGGGGGGGCGAAGCGCCCCCUGCCUUCCCUGCAGAGCCGGGGGCAGGUGAGGGCGAGCCGCGGCCGGGAACUGCUCCCCCCGCUUCCCUGGCUGCACCGCCCCGCCUCGCCCUCUGCCCUUCCCUGCAGAGCCGGGGGCAGGUGAGGGCGAGUCCCGGCCGCGAACCGCUCUCUCCGCUUCCCGGGCUGAACUGCCCGGCCCGGCCUCCCACCGCCUCCCUUCUGCACGAAGCGAACCCCGUUGUCGACAGGAACAGCACCCUCCCUCCUACUUCCAGGAGGCAAGGGUUCAAUCACCAUUCAGAAUCUGAAGUGGAGGAAUCUGAGGACCACACACCUGUAGUUGAAUCCCCACCAUCACUGGAUGACUUACUUGGCGUGGAAGCACCAGCGUCUGCAGCCCAGCCAUCUGUAGUGGAAUUGCCAGUAUCUGCAGCCCAGCUGGCUGCCAAGAAGCCACCACGUUCUGAGCACCAUUUCCUGCUCAUUGUAUAGUCUGCAUCCAGGGAAAACUCACCUGAGAUCAGAUCACCUGUGGGUGAACUUCCAGGUUUCAAAGUCAAGAUGCACACCUCUGAAUCCACACAGGACGGAUCCAGUAACACCGUUGAGGCUGUGUUGUCAGCAGCAGAGAUUACAUUUGAAUCAUUGGAGAAUCCAGAGGAUUUUGGAGACCCCUAUCAAGUUGCCAUGAAUUAUGUGGAGGAACAUAAAAUUCUACAGAUAUUUCAGGAUAUCACAGAAAAACUGCUGAUCCAUAAGCCUGAUGACCCCUUGGAGUUCAUAUUGCUGGAGGUGCAGUCUAUGAUAAAUGCCAGGCAAGCAGAACCAGAGAAACUAUCGGAAUAGAACGAAGAUGCAUAGAUGUUUCUAGAAGAGGGCUUGUGCACUCCUUUUGGCCCCCAUUGACCUUGCUGUUGUGGUAUUGCCACACCAUGCCUUCACAGCACCAUGUAGUCCUUAGCAAUAACUUGGAAAAGAUCUGCUGUCUGUCUCUUGCCUGGUUUCUCUGUUUUGUAUGCUUGUGCUUCCCCUUGGGUUUAAAUCCUGCAGCUAAGUUUUGGUUUGGAAUCACAGACUGAGAUCUAAGUGUGCAUGGAUCUGCAUGCACAUAUGGCACGUCUGGAGGAGGCCGGUCUGCUGAACUUCUAGGCAUAUAAAUGCAUAAAUCUCAUAUUGAGGCCAAUCCACACUCUGCCUCUCUGUGCAGAGAAACCUCACAGCUCAGACAAGGCAAGGACAAAAGCAAGCAGAGUUAAAAAGCAGCCUUGGACAACCCACAGCCUUCUUUUCUCAUGCUGUAUCGAUGGCUUACUGUGUCCAGUUGUGCAGCAGCACCAAUCUUGUACUUUGAUAGUUUGUGUCUGGGCUUUCCCACUGCCCCCAGAGCUCCUCUAAUGCAAGAAGUUGUCUCUCUGCCUCUUCCACACACUGGAUACAGCUGUCUCACCUUUAAUCACCCCUGCUGAACACUGAUCACUCUGCUUUUUGGGGUGGCCCUGCCUGUAUCAUUGUAAGUACAGUAUAUAACCAGAACAGUAAAGCAACAGUUGCACACACCCUUUAUGCUUUCAGGAGACACUGUCACUCAGGAAUGUCGGAGGUGAAUAAAAGCAAACAAACAAAAACCA